rfam:Ixodes scapularis strain Wikel colony gcontig_1108378841740, whole genome shotgun sequence.
UCCUGGUUAGCUCAGUUGGUAGAGCGCUCCACUGGAAAUGGAGAGGUCCCUGCAUGGUUCAAUGCCAGGACCAGGCG